CUAGGGAAGAGGGACUUGGAAAGGCUGUCUGAAUCUGGCCUUUGAGACUUUGAACUUGGUGGCUAUGCCAAGGUUCUUUGACUGCAAGUCUCAAAAUCUGAUCCUAAGUUAUUAAGAAGGAAAAAGGAAAUUUCUGGAAGGAUAAGGGCUGAGACUGUUCCCGAGCUGAUUGAGGUGGCCGUGGCAAAGAGGGGUGUGGUCCCCAAAGGAGAUAUGAAGCUGUGUCCAGGAAAAUUGUGAUACAGACAGGAACAGGAACAAGAGACCUCCCCUUCCCUGAAGGUUCUUAUCCAGCUUGAUGACUCAUCCUCAGGAGCAUCCAAGUACCACAGAGCUUUUCAAACUGGGGUCAAGACUUAUUCGUGAUCAAAAAGCCAAUUUAGUGGCUCACGACCAGCAUUUUUAUUAAUGAAGAAACCAAAAUGCAUUUCACAUUCUGAGCCUUCCAGGUAAAGCCACCAAUCCAUGCUAAGGACAGAGAAGACAUCGAUAUUUCGGCCUGAAUUUUAAACAGUGCUUUAUAGUGAGCAGAAUGUCAGGAACCUGGAAAGAGCUUGGGAAAGACACAUUUUUCAUGAUUUGUCAUCAGGAACUGUGAUAACUCAGCCAUGAGCUCACAACUCAGAGACCUACACUGCUCACAUUUGAAAGCUGAAUGAAAUUCUGCACAGCACUUCCCCGGAAUACCUCAUCUCC